rnacentral:rRNA from 1 species
GUGGUGGACGGGUGAGUAAUGUCUGGGAAACUGCCUGAUGGAGGGGGAUAACUACUGGAAACGGUAGCUAAUACCGCAUAACGUCGCAAGACCAAAGAGGGGGACCUUCGGGCCUCUUGCCAUCGGAUGUGCCCAGAUGGGAUUAGCUAGUAGGUGGGGUAACGGCUCACCUAGGCGACGAUCCCUAGCUGGUCUGAGAGGAUGACCAGCCACACUGGAACUGAGACACGGUCCAGACUCCUACGGGAGGCAGCAGUGGGGAAUAUUGCACAAUGGGCGCAAGCCUGAUGCAGCCAUGCCGCGUGUAUGAAGAAGGCCUUCGGGUUGUAAAGUACUUUCAGCGGGGAGGAAGGCGAUAAGGUUAAUAACCUUGUCGAUUGACGUUACCCGCAGAAGAAGCACCGGCUAACUCCGUGCCAGCAGCCGCGGUAAUACGGAGGGUGCAAGCGUUAAUCGGAAUUACUGGGCGUAGAGCGCACGCAGGCGGUCUGUCAAGUCGGAUGUGAAAUCCCCGGGCUCAACCUGGGAACUGCAUUCGAAACUGGCAGGCUAGAGUCUUGUAGAGGGGGGUAGAAUUCCAGGUGUAGCGGUGAAAUGCGUAGAGAUCUGGAGGAAUACCGGUGGCGAAGGCGGCCCCCUGGACAAAGACUGACGCUCAGGUGCGAAAGCGUGCGGAGCAAACAGGAUUAGAUACCCUGGUAGUCCACGCCGUAAACGAUGUCGACUUGCAUGUUUACCCCUGAGGCGUGGCUUCCGGAGCUAACGCGUUAGUCGACCGCCUGGGAGACGGCGCAGGUAAAACUCAAAUGAAUUGACGGGGGCCGCACAGGCGGUGGAGCAUGUGGUUUAUUCGAUGCAACGCGAAGACCUUACUUACUCUGACAUCAGAGACUUUCAGAGA